rnacentral:rRNA from 1 species
AUUGAACGCUGGCGGAAUGCUUUACACAUGCAAGUCGAACGAUGAAGUCUAGCUUGCUAGACGGAUUAGUGGCGAACGGGUGAGUAAUAUAUCGGAACGUAUCCAUUAAUGGGGGAUAACUAGUCGAAAGAUUGGCUAAUACCACAUACGUCCUACGGGAGAAAGCUGGGGAUCGUAAGACCUGGCGUUAAUGGAGCGGCCGAUAUCUGAUUAGCUAGUUGGUGAGGUAAAGGCUCACCAAGGCGACGAUCAGUAGCUGGUCUGAGAGGACGACCAGCCACACUGGAACGGAGACACGGUCCAGACUCCUACGGGAGGCAGCAGUGGGGAAUUUUGGACAAUGGGCGAAAGCCUGAUCCAGCCAUUCCGCGUGAGUGAAGAAGGCCUUCGGGUUGUAAAGCUCUUUCGCAAGGGAAGAAAACUUAUCCUCUAACAUAGGGUGAGGUUGACGGUACCUUGAUAAGAAGCACCGGCUAACUACGUGCCAGCAGCCGCCGUAACAC